rnacentral:rRNA from 1 species
CAUUACAGGAAGCCGAAAGGCAACUUCAAACCAUUGCGAACGUAUCCUAGUUGCUUCGGCGGCGCGGGACCCCUCGGGGGACCGCAGCCCACGCCCUCCGGGGCGAGGGGCGCCCGCCGGAGGUCACAAACUCUCGUGUAUUACAGUGGCGUCUCUGAGUAAAAAAAAAUAAGUCAAAACUUUCAACAACGGAUCUCUUGGUUCUGGCAUCGAUGAAGAACGCAGCGAAAUGCGAUAAGUAAUGUGAAUUGCAGAAUUCAGUGAAUCAUCGAAUCUUUGAACGCACAUUGCGCCCGCUAGUACUCUAGCGGGCAUGCCUGUUCGAGCGUCAUUUCAACCCUCAAGCCCGGCUUGGUGUUGGGGCCCUACGGCUGCCGUAGGCCCUGAAAGGAAGUGGCGGGCUCGCUACAACUCCGAGCGUAGUAAUUCGUUUUCUCGCUAUGGACGUUGCGGCGGUGCUCCUGCCGUUAAAGACCCAUCUUUAACCAAAGGUUG